rnacentral:rRNA from 1 species
GACGAACGCUGGCGGCGCGCCUAACACAUGCAAGUCGAACGAGAGAGAGGGAGCUUGCUUCCUCAAUCGAGUGGCGAACGGGUGAGUAACGCGUGAGGAACCUGCCUCAAAGAGGGGGACAACAGUUGGAAACGACUGCUAAUACCGCAUAAGCCCACAGCUCGGCAUCGAGCAGAGGGAAAAGGAGCAAUCCGCUUUGAGAUGGCCUCGCGUCCGAUUAGCUAGUUGGUGAGGUAACGGCCCACCAAGGCAACGAUCGGUAGCCGGACUGAGAGGUUGAACGGCCACAUUGGGACUGAGACACGGCCCAGACUCCUACGGGAGGCAGCAGUGGGGAAUAUUGCACAAUGGGGGAAACCCUGAUGCAGCGACGCCGCGUGGAGGAAGAAGGUCUUCGGAUUGUAAACUCCUAGUUGUUGAGGAAGAUAAUGACGGUACUCAACAAGGAAGUGACGGCUAAACUACGUG